AACUUUCAACAACGGAUCUCUUGGUUCUGGCAUCGAUGAAGAACGCAGCGAAAUGCGAUAAGUAGUGUGAAUUGCAGAAUUCAGUGAAUCAUCGAAUCUUUGAACGCACAUUGCGCCCCUUGGUAUUCCAUGGGGCAUGCCUGUUCGAGGCGUCAUUU
rnacentral:rRNA from 1 species